UACGAAGGGGGCUAGCGUUGCUCGGAAUCACUGGGCGUAAGGGGUGCGUAGGCGGGUCUUAAGUCAGGGGUGAAAUCCUGGAGCUCAACUCCAGAACUGCCUUUGAUACUGAAGAUCUUGAGUUCGGGAGAGGUGAGUGGAACUGCGAGUGUAGAGGUGAAAUUCGUAGAUAUUCGCAAGAACACCAGUGGCGAAGGCGGCUCACUGGCCCGAUACUGACGCUGAGGCACGAAAGCGUGGGGAGCAAACAGGG
rnacentral:rRNA from 1 species